rnacentral:lncRNA from 1 species
CACAAUUUCUUUUUUCAUUCAUUGACAGACAUGAGUUGUUCCUAUAUCUUGGCUAUUGUAAGUAGUGGUGUGUUGAGCAUGGGGCACAGAUAUCUCUAUGAGGAGGCGGUGACUUCAUUUGCUCUGGGUGUGUUCCCAGAGGAGGGGUAGCUGGCUCUCAGAGUAACCCUGUGUUUUAUCUCUUUAGAAACCUCCACAUUGUUCCUCCCACAGUCUGGCCCAAUCUGUCUUCUUCCUAGCACCAGUACACUCCUUUGAUGGCAAUUGCAUGUUUAUCAUGCAGCUUCUUAAGCUUUUUCUUAACAGAAAAGCAACAUCACCUUGAGCUAAGUGAAGCUAAAGAUGAUGAAGUGUCUACAUCUUGGCAAACCCUGCUUCCCCACUGGAGACUGAAUGAAGAAAUGAAAGGCUAAAGGAAAAAACUUAGGAAAUGAUGAAAAACUGAUGUCUAUGAGUUUACUCUGAAGCCUUGCAAGUUGUUUUGGCCCUGGGAGCUUCCAAACAUAGGCAUACUGUGAACCAGUGUUUCCCAAGACAUGGGGUUCUGCCGAAGAGCAGGAAGAAGGAGCUGUGACCACACGCCUCAUGAAACUCUCCAAGACUCAUCACAGAAAGUCAAGGAAAGAGAUGUCAAGGGCUAAAUUAUGCUCUAUGUGGUAUCCCACCCCACACCAGCUCAAACCAAGUAGGACUUCAUAUGUUAACCAAUAUAUUACAUAAAGUUCAAGUUAGUAGCGGAAAGAAUUUUCAUUAGGUUACUUUUCAUUGUAGUCCCUAAUGUAUUUUAUUAGAAAUGAGAGAUACAUCUGACACAGAGAAAUGAUAAAUGUCUGAGGUGAUGGAUGUGCUAUUUACCCUGAGCUGAUCAUUAGAUUGUAUCCAUGUAUUGCAUGAUCACACCGUACUCCACAAAUAUGUACACUGACAAUGUAUCACUUGUCACAAGUGGAAAUUCCACACCAGACCUUAUGUGAUGGGUCACAGUAAAAAACAGCCGCACUAAAAUUGGUGUAUAGCCAAGGUAUUAUGUAUAUGUAAAUAUUCCUAAAUCGGAAAUCCUAAACAUGUCUGGUCCCAAGUGUUUCAUAUAUGGGAUCAACUUAUACAGCCUCAAAAAUAAUUAUAUCGAAUUCUCAAACAAAGCUGUUCCUUUCUCAUAAAAGUCUACUUUGCAAUUCACUUGGUGUUAAAACAGCCAAUCAACAAACCUGCUUCAAAAAGUUGUCUUCAUUGGCGACUCCACUUCUCUCCCUGUUGUCUUUGGACUCACAUCAACCACACAGAGAGUUUGUAUUGAGGUCACAAUGUUUUUCAUGGAGCUCAGCCAAGUCAUAUCAGC